AGCGAACGUUAGCGGCGCGCCUAACACAUGCAAGUCGCACGAGAAACGGAGCAAUCCGCGGUACAGUGGCGCACGGGUGAGUAACACGUGGAUGACCUUCCCUGGAGUGGUGGAUAACCUGCCGAAAGGCGGGCUAAUACAGCAUGGGACCACGACGCUUUGGCGAUGUGGUGAAAGCGGGCCUCUAUAUAUAAGCUCGCGCUCCGGGACGGGUCCGCGUCCCAUCAGCUAGUUGGUGAGGUAACGGCUCACCAAGGCAACGACGGGUAGCUGGUCUGAGAGGAUGGCCAGCCACACUGGAACUGAGACACGGUCCAGACUCCUACGGGAGGCAGCAGUGGGGAAUCUUGCGCAAUGGGCGAAAGCCUGACGCAGCGACGCCGCGUGGGCGAAGAAGGCCUCGGUUGUAAGACCGUCGUGGGGAGGAACGAACCGUACGGGGGCGGAACGACCCUCCGUGCCGUGACGGUACGUCCUUUAGUCAAGCAUCGGCUAACUCUCGU
rnacentral:rRNA from 1 species